AACGCACCUUGCGCCCCUUGGUAUUCCGAGGGGCACACCCGUUUGAGUGUCGUGAAAUUCUCAACUCAAAUGCUUUUGCGAGCAUUUGGGCUUGGACUUGGGGGUCUGCCGGCCUGUCUCGGCUCCCCUUGAAUGCAUUAGCUCGGACCCUUGCGGAUCAGCUAUCGGUGUGAUAAUUGUCUACGCCGUGGUUUGUGAUGCCACCUUUCAGGUGUUGAGGGAUCGGCUUCUAAUCGUCCCCCCCGGGACAAUUAACUUUGAAAUCUGACCUCAAAUCGGGUGGGACUACCCGCUGAACUUAA
rnacentral:rRNA from 1 species